ACGUGUUCGUUCGGCCGCUCGGGUCGGCCCUGCACCGACGGAGACGUCGUGCUGCGGGCUCUCGGGCGUGCCUUCCAAACCAAACCCCUGUGCACCUUUGGGAGGGCCGAGCCUUCCAGGCGAGGCCGUCCCCUUUACAAACUCUGUAUGUCAUAGAAUGAUCGCGGACUUCGUCUGCCUAAACACAUAA
rnacentral:misc_RNA from 1 species